UGUUUCGGCUAGGGGGUCAUCCCGACUUACCAACCCGAUGCAAACUACGAAUACCGAAGAAUGUUAUCACGGGAGACACACGGCGGGUGCUAACGUCCGUCGUGAAGAGGGAAACAACCCAGACCGCCAGCUAAGGUCCCAAAGUCAUGGUUAAGUGGGAAACGAUGUGGGAAGGCACAGACAGCCAGGAUGUUGGCUUAGAAGCAGCCAUCAUUUAAAGAAAGCGUAAUAGCUCACUGGUCGAGUCGGCCUGCGCGGAAGAUGUAACGGGGCUAAACCAUGCACCGAAGCUGCGGCAGCGACACUAUGUGUUGUUGGGUAGGGGAGCGUUCUGUAAGCCUGCGAAGGUGUGCUGUGAGGCAUGCUGGAGGUAUCAGAAGUGCGAAUGCUGACAUAAGUAACGAUAAAGCGGGUGAAAAGCCCGCUCGCCGGAAGACCAAGGGUUCCUGUCCAACGUUAAUCGGGGCAGGGUGAGUCGACCCCUAAGGCGAGGCCGAAAGGCGUAGUCGAUGGGAAACAGGUUAAUAUUCCUGUACUUGG
rnacentral:rRNA from 1 species